CUCCCAUCUGCGUUUUGGCUUAGAUCAAAUGUAGGAUCUGUUCUUAUCAGUUUAAUGUCUGAUAGUUCUAACAUGGUUGGAGAGCUCCAUAGUUCUGUCCUUUC
ensembl:snRNA U2 U2 spliceosomal RNA